CCCUUAGAUGUCCGGGGCUGCACGCGCGCCACACUGAGUGGAUCAGCGGGUCAGGUUGCGCGAAAGCGUUUCCUAAUCUUUAAAUCCGCUCGUGAUGGGGAUUGACGGUUGCAAUUUUCUGUCAUGAACGAGGAAUACCUUGUAAGCGCGGGUCAUCAUCCCGCGCUGAAUACGUCCCUGCCCUUUGUACACACCGCCCGUCGCUCCUACCGAUUGAGUGGUCCGGUGAGGCUUUGGGAUCUGAGCGGAAAGAGCGUUUCGCUGUUUCUGCUCGGAAAACUCAGUCGAACCUUAUCAUUUAGAGGAAGGAGAAGUCGUAACA
rnacentral:rRNA from 1 species